UCAAGUAAACUUCCCAGGGCUUUAGUUUCCUUCUCUGUAACAUGAGCAGGGCUUAGACUAGAUGGCCUCCAAGGUCCCUUUGAGCUGUAGACCUAGGAUCCAGUGGGAAUUCACCUCCCUGGGCCUCACUUUCUUCCUUUGUAAAAGGAAAAGGUUGGAUUAGAUGGCCUCCUCAGAGCCAUAGCUCUAGGAUUACAUAAUUCUCAAGGCAAGGUGCAGAGAAAGCUGUUGAAAGCUUUGGCCUCAAAGAGGGUGACCUGGGUGGGGGGUGGUGGUGGAAGGCUGAGCUGGUUUGGGAGGAAGGGAAGCCAUUUUGCAGGACAAAAUGACACAGAAGAGAAUCCUAGGGAUGAUUCAUCAGCUCAUCCAACCCGACUCUGCCAAGGGAGGGAUCCUUGGCUCUCACUCUUUGCCAGGCCAAUGUAAUUCCUAGAUGAUUACUCUACCUGGGAAGGGAAUUGAGGUAUCUCUGGUUCAGUGAGGUCCAAAAUGGAAGCUUCCUUCCUGCUGCUUGUCAGAAGGGCUGUGGAUGCACAGAUUCAGGGCUGUGGCUCAUCCUAGGGCUCCUUAUGCACAGCCCUCUCCCCUUCCUUUGUUCAAGGCUCUAUCUUUCUAGCAACCUUUAGAGGGCAGCAUCAGCCAUAGGAAAUGCUCUUGCUCAGGGCGGCUGCUUCAGCCUUCCCCGCCCUUUUUGCUGGAUGAUCUCUACAAAGGAGGUGUAGGCUGUGGAGCAGAAGCCAAAAUUUGGUUUUCUCAUCCCCAGCACCUUCCUGAUUGGGGGAACUCGAUGCGCCUGUGAGGCUCCCGAAGAUGCUCCCGCUCCCAGUGGCAUAUUCCAUGAAGAUGAUUCAAAGGUGUGUGGAAUUGGAACAGUUUGGUUUCUAGUUAGUUACUUUAGUGAAUAAUUCUACUUUAUAAUAGAAACUUUAAAAAUUCAUCUAUGUCUACUUGUCAAGAAGAAGAGAAAAAUGGAGCUGCAUUGAUCUUAAGGAUUUAAAAGUAAAGGACUUUGCAGAUUUUCUCAUCCAACAUCUUCUUUCAACAGCUAAGGAAACUGAGAUGCAGAGAAGGAGUUUCAGAAGUAUUCUGAUGCAAUCUGUAAAAUCUCAGAUUCCAAGAGGAGCAGGAAACCUCAUCAUUUCUAGAGAAUUCCUCUUCAUUUUAGAGCCUGUUGGAGUGUGGUGGUAACAAUGUAAUCACUAUGGAAACUUUGUUGAAGAAGACUCGUCUGUUCCUUACAAAUAUCUUCAUUAAAGCCACCUCCAAUGCAUCUGUAGAUGAUUGUUAAUAAAAAUAUUCUAUAGAUGGGAGAAGAGGCAUAUGGGUUGAGUCAUCAAUGUCCAGUGGCAAGGCAAAAGACAAGAAGAUUAUGAUGGACUGGCUGCUGUGGAUGAACUUCAUAUCUUCGAUGUUUGAUCAAGUUCUAAAUGCUCUACAUUGCCUGCUUCAGCUGCCUCCAUGGCCGUUGCAAUAAAUAGUUCUUAUCUUCCGAUUUCCUGGGGGUGGGGGUGGGGGUGGAAAGUGGUAGAGUAUUGUAGAUAGAGUAGAAGUUAGAAAAAUCUGAGUUUGAAUUAUGUUUAAAAGCCUUCUAGUUUUUAUAACCCUAGGCAAGUCAAUUAUACUUGCUAAAUCUCAGAUUCUUCUGGUCUAAAAUUUUGGGAAUGGAUUAAAUGGCCCAUAAUAUUCCUUCUAUUUCUAAAAACAUGAUAUUGGUGAUGGAGAGUGAAGGAAAAGGCCAUUAGCUAUUUGGGUAGAAGGAAAGGGAUUGAGAGAGAGAGGCAAAUAUCUUCUAAGGAGGGAGGGAGGGAGGAAAGGAGGGAGAAAGGGAAGGAGGGAGGAAGGGAAGGAGGGAAAAAGGGAAGGAGGGAGGAAGGGAAGGAAGGAGAAAGGGAAGGAGGGAGGAAGGGAAGGAAGGAGAAAGGGAAGGAGGGAGGAAGGGAAGGAGGAAAGGAAGGGAAGGAGGGAGGAAAGGAAGGAAGGGAGGGAAUGAGGGAGGAAGGGAAGGAGGGAGGAAGGGAAGGAGGAAAGGAAGGGAAGGAGGGAGGAAGGGAAGGAGGGAGAAAGGGAAGGAGGGAGGAAGGGAAGGAAGAAGGAAGGGAAGGAGGGAGGAAGGGAAGGAUGGAGAAAGGGAAGGAGGGAGGAAGGGAAGGAGGGAAGGGAGGGAGGGAAGGAAGGAAAGAGAAAGAGGAAUAGAGAGAGGAGAGGGUAGGGUAAGAGAUAAAGGCAAAGGGGAUGGAGAGAGCAUGAGCAUUGUGGAGAGGGAUAAAUAAUAGAUUACAGGUGUGGGAGAAAUUGGAAGGUAAAGGAAAUCUGAGGAUAGUAUGGGGGAGGGAACUGGGUCUCACAAAGGAAAGAGAGCUGAACUUGGAGUCAAGACAUUUGUGUUAGAAACCUGACCCAAAGGGUAGUUAAGAGGUCCAGUGGGGGCAGCUGGGUAGCUCAGUGGAUUGAGAGCCAGGCCCAGAGAUGGCAGAUCCUGGAUUCAAAUCUGGCAUCAGACACUUCCUAGCUGUGUGACCCUGGGAAAGUCACUUAACCCCCAUUCCCAUUGCCUAGUACUUACAACUCUUCUGCUUUAGAACAAUACACAGUAUUGAUUCUAAGACAGGAAGUAAGGGUUUUUUUAAAAAGAGGCUCAGUGAGUUGAGAAUCAGGCGUAAAGAUGGGGGGUCAUGGGUUCAAAUUUAUCCUCAAAAACGUUAUAGCCAUGUGACCUUGGUCAAUUAACUUAACCCCCAUUACCUAACCCUUACAACUCUUCUGCCUUAGAACCAAUACACAGUAUUGAUUCUAAGACAGAAGGUAAGGAUUAUAAAAAUCAAUCUGACCACAAUGACAAUCUGUGCUACUUUGGGCAAUUCAUAUAGCCUCUUCUCAGCUUCACUUUCCUUUUUUGAAAAGGGAUGAGAUUGUGCUUGAUGACCUCUGGGGUCCCUUCAGCUCUCUGUUCUUAUGGAUGAGAAGGAGAGAAAAAGAAAACCAUUUGGAAUUGGUGUGGGAGGAGAGUGAUAGGUUCAGAGAGAAUAAUUGGUUAAGGAGGAGAGAGAGGGAUGGGGGAAGGAAAGGGGUUUAGGGAUAAUUUGUAGAGUAAUACAACUCAAUUUUCUGGUGUAUAAAGCAGUAUUGUUGGGAGUCCAAGUGAGCUGAGUUCAUAGCAUAUGUAGUAAUCCUUACUACAUGGAUGUUUUGGGGCAAGUCACUUCAUGUGUCUCGUCCUUUAUUUGUUUUACCCAAAAAUGAAAGGAAUGAUUCAGUGACCGCUAGAAUUCUUCCCAGCUCUAAUUCUAUGAUGGUAUUGGUUACAGUAAGAAAAGAAAAAGACUAUUUACUGUAUAUAAGAGAAAACAAGGCAAAAGAUUCAUGAGAAGAGAGAGACAAAGGUUUACUGAGGUCAGGGGAAAGACUGAGUGAAAGAGAAAGGGUAACUAGGGAUAUGUGAAUAAUGGUGAGUUUCCAGAUACAUAAUGAUAGUGAAAGAGAGGGGGAGAUCUAGAGAUAGAGGGAUAGAAAAAGGCAAAAUUCAAAGUGAUAAAAAGACAACAAAGAAGGAAAACUAGGUAAUGGACAGGGCAGUGAUUACAGAAGAUAGUGAGCUAUAGAGGUAUGUUUCCACAAGAGAAAGAGAGCAAUAAAGAGAAGUGGGAAUUUUACACAAGGCAGGUGCCUGGAAGACAGCUGGUUAGUUGUUCUUCAUACAUGAAGAGGACCAAAAUGACCUCACUGAUGAUGACUUUUGAUUCCUUCAUAAAUUGGAUUUAGAGGAGGCAUGGUUAUGCAAAGACAUCUGCUUCACCCUAGUUUCCAGAGUUGUUGAGUUUCUGUGAGAAGAGAAAGAUCAAGACAGUGGUGAUUGCCCUGGAGCCAAUGGAUGACCUUCACUUCUUCAGUGUUUAACCAAGCUUGAAACAAUGCACAAUAAUGGAUUCUGCUGCUGCUAUGACUAUUGGAACAAAUUGCACUUAUCCACCACCUCUGCCUGGGGAAGUCUUCACAUGCCUGGGGUUGACAUCCCCCUAAAGUACUGAUAGGUUUGAGUUCCAUUGGUUAUGCUCAAUCUGGUUUAGCUAGCCUGCUGAGACAAUUCACUAGAUUAAGGAUGCUGGGAAUCCUAAAGCUUCUGAGAGGCAUAGGUGAAAGCUAGAUGUCAGGUGAGCACCAUGCAAGCAAAGCAUUCUGGAAAAGGGAUGAUCAAACUCUCAGAGUACAAAGGUACCAUUCUUCCCUGAAUAGCUUGUUCACCCUGGGAGGCAGAUAAUUGUUAUUUGGUAGAUUUCUCUGGUUGGAGUCAGAUCUCCCUUGGGUUGGGAUCUAGAAUUAGCUAGUGAAAAGUUAUUUUAGCCCAGGUGGGACACUUAACUUGUCUCAGCCACAGUUUUCUCUUCUGUAAAACAAUGAGCCUGAACUCAGUAGGUCUAAAGUCCCUCUAGCUGUCUGAUCUUAUGGACGUGAGGGUGAGAAAAGAAAGCCCACCUGGGAUUUUAGAGUGGGAGGAGAGUAAUAGGUUUAAAGAGAAUAGUUGAUUAAUUAAGAGGGUGGUAUGGAGGGAAGGAAACCCUGCAAAUGGUAUUGAGGGACAACUUAUCAAAGGAUACAACUAAAGCUCCAUGUUUAUAAAGCAUGGUUGCUAGGAGUCCAUAAGACUUUAGUUCAAAUGCUUUCUCAUAAACAUUCUUAUGUGUGACCCUGGGCAAGUCACUUCAAAUGUCUAAGCCUUAUUUUUGUUCUGCUCUAAAAUGAUAGAGUUGGACUCAACAACCCCUAGACUUCCUUCCUGCUCUAAUUCUGUGCUGUUGCUGGUUACAGCAAGAAAAAGAAAAGGUGACUUACUGAAUGUGAGGGAGAGCAAGGCCAAGGACUUGUGAGAAGAAGAGAGACACAAAGGGAAGGGCUUGCUCAGGCCAGGGAAAGGUUGAGUGAAAGGGAAAGGACAGGUGGGGAUGUAGGGGUGUUGAGUCAGAAGUAUGGAUUUCCAGGGAAAGAGUUAUAGUGAAAGACAGGGAGAGACAUAGAGGGAUAGAAAAAGAUAGAGAACAAGGAAGAAAAGUUGACUAGGUAAUGGGGCAGGGCAGUGAUUGCAGAAGAUGGAGAGGGACAGGUAUGUUUCCAAAAGGGAGAGAGAGCUAGAAAGGGAAGUGAGAGUUUUGUGUAUUGGAGGUAUCGUGGUUGGUUGUUGUCCUUUCUACUUGAAGAGGACCAAAUUAACAUCUGGGGUUAUUCCUUUUGAUUGGUGCAUAAAUUGGGUUUAAGUGUGGUGCUGUUGUGCCAAGAGGUUGGCUUCACUCUCCCAGUAUCAUCAGAGUCCAGUGGCAAGAUGACUAUUUUCAGGAUGACUUUUGAUGGCUCAGAUUGCAGUGGAUGGCCUUGGGUUCUUCCAUGUUUCAUUACCCAUCUCUAAUUGCUCCACAUCACCUGCUUCUACAAACUCCAUGGACAUUGGAACAAAUUGUUCUUAUCUGCUCCUUUGACAGGGAAGUAUUAAGAUGCCUGGGGUAGGCAGCCCUCUAACUGAAUGGUGGGUUUGAGGUUUGUUGGUUACCCUCAACCUGGCUGUUAGCCCGUUUGCCAAGAGGAUUUACCAACUUGUGACUUCUUGUCAUGCUCCAGCUUCUUGGAGCAACAGGUGGUACCUGAGUGUCAGUGGGCACUAAGGAGGAAAGCAGCCUGGAAAAGGGCUCCACACACCCUGUCACCAGAGGUAGUGUUAGUGUUUCUGAACACCCUCUAUGGGAGGUAUCUCCCAGAGUACUCUGGUUGGAGUCAGAACUCUGAGUUUUUAACUGAACUCAGCUAGUUGAAAGUUAUUUCACCACAGGUGAGGCACUUAACUUGUCUCAGCCAUACUUUUCUCUUCUGCAAAAGAAUUGGCCUGGACUCCAUGGCCUCUAGGGUUCCUCCAGAUCUCUGAUCUAAUGGAUGAGAGGAAGAGAUAACAAAGUCCACAUGGGAUAGGAGUGGGAGGAGAGUUAUAGGUUCAGAGGGAAUAGUAGAUUAAUGAGGAAUGAUAUCUAGAGUGAGGUGACCAUUGGGAAUGGGUUUUCCAGGGAAAUUGUGAAGUGGUCCAGCUAAGUCUUCAUUUUUAUAAAGCACUUUUUCCAUUUUUAUAAAGUUGGGAUUCCUCAUUACCUGAGUCCAAUGCUCCCUCACACACAUUCUUAUUAGAUGUGUGACCCUGGGAAAUACUCUUCAAGUGUUUAAGCCUUUUUAUAGUCUGUCUUAAAAUGAUAUGGUUGGGCACAAUGAACCAUAGAGUUCUUCCCAGUUCUAAUUAAUUCUGUGAUGAUUUUGGUUAAAGCAUAGACAGAAAAAGGCCACUUACUGAAUGUAAGGGAGAAAUAGUGAAUGUCAGGGAGAGCAAGGCAAGAGUUUUGUGAAGAAGAGAGAGAGACAAAGGGAAGGACUUGCUGAAGCCAGAGGAAAGGCUGAGUGAAAGGGAAAGGACAGCUGGAUAUGUGAGGAUGUUGAGUCAGAAGGGCAGGUUUCCAAAUGAAUGUAAACUUGCUUUUACAUGAAGUUAGAAAAAAUAAAAUAUUACAUAAGAAAAAAGAUGAGGAGUAAAAUCAUCACAUAAAAGGGCAAUAAGUUAUUGAGAGAAAGGAGAGUUAAAGAAAGAUGAGUGAGAAACUCACUGGGUUCCUUCUAGCUCAAAAUUUAUGAAUCAUGAAAGGGAAAAAAGGAAAGGGUAGGAUUUACAGUAAGGAGAUAAAGAGUUUAAAUAGGAAAUAGAGAGGAAGGGAGGGGGAGAGAACAUUGCCUUCUAAGGACUGGAUGAGUGAGGAAAGAGACCUUUUCAGAGGGAAAUGAGGACACCUGGAAAGUGUAGAGCAAGCCUCCUUGGUGUCAUAGUAGUUAAGAGCUUCUACUUAGAGAUGGCUCAUUGGGUUUAAAUCCAACCUCAGCUUUUGACAAGGUAUAUUUCUUUUUUUUUUAUUUUAUAGUAUUUUAUUUGAUCAUUUCCAUGCAUUUUUCAUUAAAGACAAAGAUCAUUUUCUUUUCCUCCCUCCCACCCCCCCCCCCCCGUGGCCGACGCGUGAUUCCACUGGUAUCAUGUGUGUUCUUGACUCGAACCCAUUGUCAUGUUGUUAGUAUUUGCAUCAGAGUGUUCGCUCAGAGUCUUUCCUCUGUCAUGUCCCCUCAGCCAUUGUAGUCAGGCAGUUGCUUUUCCUCAGUGUUUCUACUCCCUCAGUUUGUCCUCUGCUUAUGGAUAGUGUUUUUUUCUCCUUGAUCCCUGCAGAUUGUGCAGGGGCAUUACACUGCCACUAAUGGAGAAGUCCAUUACGUUCGAUUAUACCACAGUGUGUUUGUCUCUGUGUACAAUGUUCUCCUGGCUCUGCUCCUCUCGCUCUGCAUCACUUCCUGGAGGUCGUUCCAGUCUCCAUGGAAUUCCUCCACUUUAUUAUUCCUUUUUGCACAAUAAUAUUCCAUCACCAACAUAUACCACAAUUUGUUCAGCCAUUCCCCAAUUGAUGGGCAUCCCCUCGUUUUCCAAUUUUUGGCCACCACAAAGAGCGCAGCUAUGAAUAUUUUUGUACAAGUCUUUUUGACAAGGUAUAUUUCUAUGGAGAAGUAUUCAACCACUGUCAGCUAAAUUUUCUCCUCACUAUAUUUAUUGGGCUGGAUUUGAUGGUUUCUAAUGACUGUCAAGUUCUGUGAUCCUCUGGGUGCGAGAGAGAGAGAGAGAGAGAGAGAGAGAGAGAGAGAGAGAGAGAGAGAGAGAGAGAGAGAGAGAGGGAGAGAUCCACUUGGUAGUAAGCUUGAAGUAGAAAAUGAUAGAGUUAGGGAAGAAUCAGGGAUUAAGGAUGAGAAGAAGAGAGAGGGAAGCAUUCACAGGAAAUGGAAGUAUGUGGCUCGAGGGGAAUGUGUAGACCAGAACUGCUAGAUAACCUUUUGGAAGUCAGAAUAACCUGAGUUCAAGUCUUUUAUUUAUCUAUUUAUUUUUCCAAGUCUUAUAUCAUAUUCCUAAAAAUUGUUUGAAUCUGGGUAAUUUAGUUUGAGUGUCUAACCCUCUGUUACAAUAUAAUGGAGUUGGAUUCAGGGGCCCUAGGGUUCCUUUCACCUCUGAAUUUUCCAACAUGUUGAUGAUUGGGAGUAAAAGGAAAUACUAGUUAUCACUGAGUGGGAAUUAAAACAAGGAAAAAAGCAUUUGAGGAGGAGAUAUUGAGGAGGGAAAGAGAGGGAAAAGGAGAGGUUGAGAGAUUUAGAGACAUUGAGAGAAAGAAACCUAGGUACACACAUACACAGAGGCAGACAAACACUCAGAAACACACAAAGUAAAGGCUCCUUGGGAAUUAUGCUGAGAAAAUAAUACAGAAUGCAAAUGUUUCACCUUCUACUGGAUUUUUCUUAGAAGUCAGGAUGAACUCAAUUAAAAUCCUGCCUCACAUUCUUAAUAGCUUGUUGAGUCCAGGCAAGUCACUUAAAGUGUCUAAGCCUCAGUUUCCUCUGAUGUGAUAACAUUGAAUUUGACUAAGUUGUCCUUAAUGUACCUUCUAGGUCUAACUCUAUGAUCUUAAUCAUGUUAGAAAGAAAAAGGACAUUUGUAUUUGGGUGGGAGUGAGAACAAUACAAAUGGGUUCUGAACAAAGGAGAAAGUUGGAAUAAUAGUAUGACAGUUGACAUGGAGAAGAGAAAUGGAAGGGAGAACUAGGGGAUUUGAUUGAAGAGUGGGUGUUCUUUAGACAAAGAGAGAAAGAAAGAUGAUUGAGAUUGAACAAGGAAGAAAAAGACUCUUGGGCAUGAACCAGGAAAUAAUGGAAGUGGCCAGUAUAGGAGGGGUUAAGACACACAGAAAGGAGACCCCUAGAGAUGAAGAGGUAGCAAGGGAAGUUAAAUCUUCUGAUAAUGGGUAGUGUGGGGUGACAUCUCAGUAUGAUAGGGGAUAAACUCAGUGAGUUAAUCAUUCAUUUAGUCAAUAAGUAUUUAUAGGCCCAACAAUGCUAGACCCAUAGUUUUAAAACUAUUGGAAUCUAAAUA